UACUUAUUUGUGAUGUUUUAUGUUUUGUACAUUUUUUAAAAUUGAGACCUCAUUUCUAAGUUGCUGCUGUUGUAAAACAGGGUUUUUAUUAAAUAUAAAAUAAAAAUCUCUGUUUUAUCCAGUUUGUCUGAUGCUUCCUUCCUUCACAGAAUUCUGGUAACCAUGGUUAAAUAUAAUUAACCGAGGGUAUUUAAUUAAAACAAUAGGAGGGGGGUGUUUUAAUAAAACGACGUCUAUCUGAAAUGAAUCAGGAAUUUGGCAGAUGUAUCCGAUUAACAUCGUCUAAAGAGCGGAUUAGGGACGUUUUAAUUUAUUUAUGUCUUAAAUACGUAGGCUAAGCGUCGUUCACGGAUGUCUCGGCGACAUCUGCCAGAUGAAAAAGAUGACGUCGCAUAGACGUCUCCGCGACGUGCGUGUGCUAUCUGGGAAUAUAUUUAGCAAUUUUCCAGGGCUUAUUGUAUUUAUGUAUUUCUUUAUUUCUAUAUUUAUUCACACAUUUAUUUAUUUAUGAUUAUGUCAUGUUUCGUCCUGGAUACUCGCCAGGCCUCGGUGUCAAGUCAGCAAAAAACACUUUACCAAGUAUCAUUCAUCCAGACCUUUAGGUGGCGGUAGCGCACCGUCUACGUUGCCUGCAGAUCAAAUGAAGAAGACAAAGCGGCCAGUGAAGAAGCAUGCGACAUCAGAAACAGUCGAGGAGAACAACAAUCUCAAGAAAGAAACUGCUGGAGAAUGUUCCGGAGUCUCCAUCAGCACCACAUCAUCAGUCAGAUACUAAGCAGCUUCAGGAGUUGCAGACUUUGGACAAACGUGUUGGACGUCCACCACAAGAGAAGACUGAUGUAGCCGGUAAGAAAAAAAGCUUUUCCAGCCCUGUUCUUGUAGCCCUUACAUACAGCAAGCAACCAAUUUUCCCUUUAAAAAUUUUCUUCUCCUUUUUGACUGAUUAUUUUCACUGGAAGAUUGUCAUAAUGCUGUAGACUUUGUGUAACUCCUGUAUAAAUCAUACUUUGAGUUGAGCAGUGUGACACUUAAUAUCUUUGUCAGGUUGGGUGACAUUUUGUAUCAUUUAGUGUCUUGAAUUGGCAGAUUUUGCUGGUGUCUGUUAUAUUGUGUAAAUUAAAAAAUUAUUACACAAUAAAAACUGUAUGUUGUAGUUUGCACAUCUAAGUUUAUUUCAUUUAUGUAUUUAUUUUUACUAAUGGGCUUGAUUCACAAAAUAAUAGUUAAGUGUAAUAUUGAAUAUUAUUAACCUGUUGGUUUUAAUGUUGUGGUGGACAGAGGACAGUAUGGACACUGACUGGUCUCAGGUGGUGUUUGUUGUGGCUCAUCACUGUAUGCUGUUAACUAAGGAUUUUUGAUAUGUUCAAUAAAACUAUAAUAUUUCUCA